UGGUUAUGUGUUGGUGGUGGAUAGAGUCACACCGACUUACAAUUGACUAUUUCUCUGCGGUUACAAUUAAAGAUCGUUGUCGAAAUCAACACUAGGGAGAUACCAUUAAAUUUUUACAGGGUAGGGGUGGGGGAGUUGUGGCCAGGAUGAAAAAUGUUGUCCUGCAUUUUUCUUUCAAUGUAAUCUCAAUGUAAAUGUAGUCCUGUUUUUUUUUUAUUUUACACUCUAUUCUGUCCUGCCUUUCUUAGUUAUUAAUGUAUCCUGACUUGUUUUUCAUAAGUUCAUCAUGACUUUUCUUUUUGGCAAGAUGGCCAUACUGCCUUUUUUCUCUUAACUCCUGUCAUGCCUUUUUUCUUUUCAAUUUUCAUACGUCAGACAAACUUCUUCGUGCAUGUGACUUCAUAUAUAUAUA
rnacentral:lncRNA from 1 species